rnacentral:rRNA from 1 species
UGCGUAGGUGGGCAAGUAAGUCAGUGGUGAAAUCUCCGGGCUUAACCCGGAAACUGCCAUUGAUACUAUUUGUCUUGAAUACUGUGGAGGUCAGCGGAAUAUGUCAUGUAGCGGUGAAAUGCUUAGAUAUGACAUAGAACACCAAUUGCGAAGGCAGCUGGCUACACAAAUAUUGACACUGAGGCACGAAAGCGUGGGGAUCAAACAGGAUUAGAUACCCUGGUAGUCCACGCCCUAAACUAUGGAUACUCGACAUUUGCGAUAAACUGCAAGUGUCUGAGCGAAAGCAUUAAGUAUCCCACCUGGGAAGUACGAUCGCAAGAUUGAA